rnacentral:rRNA from 1 species
AUUGAACGCUGGCGGCGUGCUUAACACAUGCAAGUCGUGCGGUAACAGGCGUAGCAAUACGUGCUGACGAGCGGCGAACGGGUGCGUAAUACAUGGGAAUCUGCCCUUUAGUGGGGAAUAACCCGGCGAAAGCCGGGCUAAUGCCGCAUAAGAUCUUCGGAUGAAAGCGGGGAUCGUAAGACCUCGCGCUGAUGGAUGAGCCCAUGUCGGAUUAGCUAGNGGUGAGGUAACGGCUCACCAAGGCGACGAUCCGUAGCUGGUCUGAGAGGACGGCCAGCCACACUGGGACUGAGACACGGCCCAGACUCCUACGGGAGGCAGCAGUAAGGAAUAUUGCGCAAUGGGCGAAAGCCUGACGCAGCGACGCCGCGUGGGGGAUGAAGGUCUUCGGA